GAUGAACGCUGGCGGCGUGCCUAAUACAUGCAAGUCGAGCGAACAGAUGAGGAGCUUGCUCCUCUGACGUUAGCGGCGGACGGGUGAGUAACACGUGGGUAACCUACCUAUAAGACUGGGAUAACUUCGGGAAACCGGAGCUAAUACCGGAUAAUAUAUUGAACCGCAUGGUUCAAUAGUGAAAGACGGUUUUGCUGUCACUUAUAGAUGGAUCCGCGCCGCAUUAGCUAGUUGGUAAGGUAACGGCUUACCAAGGCAACGAUGCGUAGCCGACCUGAGAGGGGGAUCGGCCACACUGGAACUGAGACACGGUCCAGACUCCUACGGGAGGCAGCAGUAGGGAAUCUUCCGCAAUGGGCGAAAGCCUGACGGAGCAACGCCGCGUGAGUGAUGAAGGUCUUCGGAUCGUAAAACUCUGUUAUUAGGGAAGAACAAAUGUGUAAGUAACUAUGCACGUCUUGACGGUACCUAAUCAGAAAGCCACGGCUAACUACGUG
rnacentral:rRNA from 1 species